rnacentral:rRNA from 1 species
UACAGAGGUCUCAAGCGUUGUUCGGAUUCAUUGGGCGUAAAGGGUGCGUAGGUGGCGGGGUAAGUCAGGUGUGAAAUUUCGGAGCUUAACUCCGAAACUGCAUUUGAUACUGCCUUGCUUGAGGACUGGAGAGGAGACUGGAAUUCACGGUGUAGCAGUGAAAUGCGUAGAUAUCGUGAGGAAGACCAGUGGCGAAGGCGGGUCUCGGGACAGUUCCUGACACUGAGGCACGAGGCCAGGGGAGCAAACGGG